AUGGAGGAAGCCAAGGUUGUGGAGACCAGGGAUGGAACUAUCGCAGUUGCUUCAGCGUUUCCCGGUCAUCAGGAAGCCGUACAAGAUAGGGAUCACAAGUUCUUGUCGAAAGCUGUAGAAGAGGCGUACAAAGGAGUUGACUGUGGCCAUGGAGGACCGUUUGGCGCGGUCGUCGUCCGCAACGACGAAGUAAUAGUUGGGUGCCAUAACAUGGUUUUGAACAACACCGAUCCAACUGCCCAUGCUGAAGUCACUGCAAUAAGAGAGGCUUGCAAAAAGCUUGGGAAGAUUGAGCUGUCGGACUGCGAAAUGUACGCAUCAUGUGAACCUUGCCCAAUGUGUUUUGGGGCUGUUCAUCUAUCCCGGAUCAAGAGGCUGGUGUACGGAGCCAAGGCGGAAGCUGCUAUUGCCAUUGGAUUCGACGACUUCAUUGCUGAUGCUCUUAGAGGAACUGGGUUCUACCAGAAGGCCAACAUGGAGAUCAAGCGAGCCGAUGGGAAUGGAGCUCUGCUUGCUGAACAAGUCUUUGAGAACACCAAGGAGAAAUUCCGAAUGUACUAA
rnacentral:rRNA from 1 species